rnacentral:rRNA from 1 species
UAGCAUAAUCAUUAGUUUUUUAAUUGAGAACUGGAAUGAAAGGUUAAAUAAAAAAUAAUCUUUAUUAAAAUUAAAUUAUUUGAAUUUGUUUUUUUAGUAAAAAAACUAAAAUAAAUAAAAAAGACGAUAAGACCCUAUAAAGCUUUAUAAUAUAAAGAUUUAAUUAUUUAUUAGACUAUUUAAAUAGUUUUUUUUUGUUAUUUAAUUGGGGUGAUUUAAAGAUUUAAAAAACUCUUUAGAUAAAUUAUUUCAUACUUAAAUGUUUUUUGAUCCUUAAAUUUUAAGAUUAUAAAAAUAAGUUACUUUAGGGAUAACAGCGUAAUUUUUUUGAAGAGUUCUAAUCGAUAAAAAAGAUUGCGACCUCGAUGUUGAAUUAAGAUAAAAAUUAGGUGUAGAAGUUUAAUUUUU